rnacentral:rRNA from 1 species
AUUGAACGCUGGCGGCAGGCCUAACACAUGCAAGUCGAGCGGAGCGGCGGACGGGUGAGUAAUGCCUAGGAAUCUGCCUGGUAGUGGGGGAUAACGACCGGCAACGGGCGCUAAUACAGCAUACUAUCAGAUGAGCCUAGGUCGGAUUAGCUAGUUGGUGGGGUAAAGGCCUACCAAGGCGACGGUCCGUAACUGGUUUGAGAGGAUGAUCAGUCACACUUGAAAUGGGACACGGCCCCGACUACCAAGGGGGGCAGCAGUUGGGAAACGUCCGCAAUGGGAGAAAGGCUGGCGGAGCACAGGCGGGUGAGUGAGGGCGGGCUUCGGGUUGGAAAGCUCUGUUCAUCGGGGCGCGGUACCCGCAUAGGAAGCCACGGCUAACUACGUGCCAGCAGCCGCGGUAAUAC